rnacentral:rRNA from 1 species
UACGUAGGGGGCCAGCGUUGCUCGGAAUUACUGGGCGUAAAGGGUUCGUAGGUGGUGCGGUAAGUUGGAAGUGAAAUCUCUGGGCUUAACUCAGGGGCUGCUUUCAAAACUGCCGUGCUCGAGUGCGAGAGAGGUCAGUGGAAUUGCAGGUGUAGCGGUGAAAUGCGUAGAUAUCUGCAGGAACACCCGUGGCGAAGGCGGCUGACUGGAUCGCAACUGACACUGAGGAACGAAAGCUAGGGGAGCAAACAGG